UUACCAUAGUAGCAUCUUACAUGGAAAGACAGAUCACUCCAACCUCAGGAAAAGAGAGGUGCUGGGCAAAGUGACCUGUGCAACUUCAUAUGCACUGGCUUGCAAAAAGGAAGAUAGCACUAUCUGCCUUACGGCGGAAAGCCACAAGCUCUCAAUGAUAUUCAUCUACCCACAUCAACAGGACUGCAUGUAAGCAAACUGUUCCGAGUUGGGCCCUUUAAUGACAAGCCAGCACCCAGCAGUCACCGAAGCCAGUCACACCACGGCUGCUGGGAUUUGUACCGGGAUGAUGGAUGAUUUCUCUUAGAACAGCGG